UUGUUUGUAAUUUCUAAAAUUCCGUCCCUUUUUUUUUAUAUUUAAUAUAUAAAUAUAAAAAAUAUAUUUAUAUAUUAAGGGGCGGAUGUAGCCAAG
rnacentral:tRNA from 1 species